rnacentral:rRNA from 1 species
UAAGGAAUAUUGCGCAAUGGACGAAAGUCUGACGCAGCGACGCCGCGUGGGGGAUGAAGGUCUUCGGAUUGUAAACCCCUUUCGGGAGGGAAGAUGGAGUGGGUAACCACUUGGACGGUACCUCCAGAAGCAGCCACGGCUAACUUCGUGCCAGCAGCCGCGGUAAUACGAAGGUGGCAAGCGUUGUUCGGAUUCACUGGGCGUACAGGGAGCGUAGGCGGUUGGGUAAGCCCUCCGUGAAAUCUCCGGGCCUAACCCGGAAAGUGCAGAGGGGACUGCUCAGCUAGAGGAUGGGAGAGGAGCGCGGAAUUCCCGGUGUAGCGGUGAAAUGCGUAGAGAUCGGGAGGAAGGCUGGUGGCGAAGGCGGCGCUCUGGAACAUUUCUGACGCUGAGGCUCGAAAGCGUGGGGAGCAAACAGGAUUAGAUACCCUUGUAGUCCCUGAGCGGGCUGGCAAGGCGCAU